rnacentral:lncRNA from 1 species
UAUUUUUUUUUUAAUUAGAGUAAGAUUCACCUUACACACACACGUCUAAUGAAAUGUGCGUGAGCGAGGACAACAAGCACCCUUCACACGCCACCGUGUGGGUUAAUGUGAGGGCUUUCUGACCAGUGGAAGGUGUGAAUUCAUAACAAGAUCUGGUGUGCGCAGCUUUAACAGCUUGUCAAAUGUGUGAGUUGAAGAUAAUGAAUUCAAGUCCAGCUGGGGGUUUUCUCUGGUUUGCAGGUCUAUUUUCAGGGAUGACAUGGAUAGAGGAGCCACGUGGAAACGCACAAGCAGGUUCGUGGGCUUGAAUGGAAUGGUC